CCUACGGGAGGCAGCAGUGAGGAAUAUUGGUCAAUGGCCGUAAGGCUGAACCAGCGACGUCGCGUGAGGGAAGAAGGAUCUAUGGUUUGUAAGCUUCUUUUGUAGGGGAAUAAAGGUCUCCACGUGUGGAUCUUUGCAUGUACCCUAUGAAUAAGCAUCGGCUAACUCCGUGCCAGCAGCCGCGGUAAUACGGAGGAUGCGAGCGUUAUCCGGAUUUAUUGGGUUUAAAGGGUGCGUAGGUUGUUUUUUAAGUCAGCGGUGAAAGUUUGGGGCUCAACCAUAAAAUUGCCGUUGAAACUGGAAGACUGGAGUGUGUGUGAGGUAGGCGGAAUGCGUGGUGUAGCGGUGAAAUGCAUAGAUAUCACGCAGAACUCCGAUUGCGAAGGCAGCUUACUAAGCCAUAACUGACAUUGAAGCACGAAAGCGUGGGGAUCAAACAGGAUUAGAUACCCUAGUAGUC
rnacentral:rRNA from 1 species